rnacentral:rRNA from 1 species
UACGGAGGAUCCAAGCGUUAUCCGGAUUUAUUGGGUUUAAAGGGUGCGUAGGCGGCUUAUUAAGUCAGGGGUGAAAGACGGUGGCUCAACCAUCGCAGUGCCUUUGAUACUGAUGAGCUUGAAUACACUUGAGGUAGGCGGAAUGUGACAAGUAGCGGUGAAAUGCAUAGAUAUGUCACAGAACACCAAUUGCGAAGGCAGCUUACUAAGGUGCAAUUGACGCUGAGGCACGAAAGCGUGGGGAGUCAAACAGGA